GGAAGUAAAGUCGUAACAAGGUCUCCGUAGGUGAACCUGCGGAGGGAUCAUUACAGAGUUCAUGCCCUACCGGGUAGUUCUCCCACCCUAUGUUAUUAUUACUUUGUUGCUUUGGCGGGCCGUUAGGCUCCGGCCCGACUACCGGCCCCGGCUGGUAAGCUCCCGCCAGAGGACCCAAAAACCCUGAAUAUUAGUGUCGUUUGAGUACUAUAUAAUAGUUAAAACUUUCAACAACGGAUCUCUUGGUUCUG
rnacentral:misc_RNA from 1 species